UAGAAAAUUGGGCUAAUGCAACUUUUUAGAAGCAACCCUUCUCAAAUGAGUUGCAUUUACCUCUAAUGCAACUUCAUUGAAUACAAAAGUUGCAUUAGGAGAUCUAAUGCAACCUUUUUAUUAAAAAGUUGCAAUUUUUAGUAAAAUUUGCAACUUUUAUUAGAAAGGUUGCAUUGAGAAUAAAUGGUCUUACUUAGAAAGGUUACAAUUUUUAGUAAAAUUUAUAACUUUUAUUAGAAAGGUUGCAUUGAGAAUAAAUGGUCCUACAUUUUCUAUAUUUAUUUAGAUGGUAUACAAGUCUUAAUAUGUAAGGCCAGUUCCAAAAUCACAUUUCCAUUUACUCAAAUAUAAUUCAAAUAAAUUAUUUCAAUCAGAUAUUUUUUUUUAUAUAAGUUUUGUCACAAAAAAUGUACACAUUGGUAACUUUAUACUAUUGUUUACCUAUUUGACACGGUGUCAAUCAUGAUAGAUUUGGGUUUUAAUUGUAUUAUUUAUUGUUUCUUUUAAUAUUCCCCCAUGAAUCCACGAUUCAACCCAUUUUCUCCACUAAAUGUGAAUUGAUUCCCAAAAACACACAUACCCCGCCUAAUUUCUCCCGCGUCCUCACAAUUCCAAUUCCAAACCCAAAACCUAGUCAAACGCUCAAACCCGUCUCUCUCCCUCUCUGUUUUAAGUGAAACAACUUGUACCAACUAUUGCGAAUCAGCCUAACACCACCAGAUCACACAACCAUAUACAACCAUUCGGCUCGUUGACCAACUGAUAAACUACUAUAGCUUAUGCCAUGUCUGACUCAUCGACUUGUGUAUCACUGCUGACUUCCGAUCUACUCUUUGAGAUUAUGAUUCAGGCGCGUCUACUUUAAUCUAAGGGGAUUGCAUGCUUUUAGGACAAGGUAUUAUAUCUUUAUGACAGAGUAAGUUUUGUAUAGCCUUCUUUUUUCGCUUGGUAGUAAGGCACAUCUGGUGAAUCAUUUGCUAGGGUGAGUUUAAUAUGUAGAUCAUCUCCUCAUUGCAAGGUAUAGUCGUUCUUUCUAACAACCAACAUUAUGUUUUCUAGCAGGUAUACUUGUUCUAUCCUACAAUGAGUUGGAAAGAAAGCAACAAAUUUGUUGUUUGUGAAGUGUUCUCUUAUAAACCAAGGGCAUGCAAUUCGCAGAGUGAAAGUUAGGCUUCAAUUAGCAGUUGCAACAAAGGAUGUUAUCUACAACCUCACUUUUGUCUCCUAAAAUCUUUCCGUUACAUGUUUUUGCUUUGCUAUCCAUUGUAUGUCGAAGCUUAGAACAUAUUGCAAAUUAACUAGGCAUUUUGGUCAUUCCUCCUUACACAGGAACAAAUGAUCAACUACAAACCUCUAGAAGAUGUAAGUGCUUUGGUUAAUCCUUUUAUGAGUGUAAUGAACAAGGAGCAUGGCGACUACCUUCUACUUUAUGGCAAAGGUAUUAUUAAAAAAAGGAUGGUGGUGAGGAAACAUACAUGAUUCUGGGUGUGCUUAUGGAAUUAUUCAAAGCGAGCCUUGAAGUUAAAAAAACAUAGGUUCUUGAAUUGCGAAAAGAAAUUGAGGAGAACCAUUAAAGGAAAAAAAAAAUGAGCUAGAAGCAAUGCAAAAGAGAUUUUAACAUACAACGAACAACUUAGAAGCUACGAUGUGAAGUAUUAUUUGGAAAAGCUACCUAUUCGAGAACUUCCGGAUCUUUGAGAUGAGUAGAAACUUUAUGUUACUUUUAUCAUUGUAAAUGACAACUUCAUUUUGGUUACAUUGUUAUUUUGAGUUUGGACAUGUGUUAAAUUGCGAUAUAAUAGAUAUGUUAUUAGUUUGUUGGUAAAAUUGAGAUAA